UACGGGGGGGGUAAGCGUUGUUCGGAAUUACUGGGCGUAAAGCGCGCGUAGGCGGCUUUGCAAGCCGGAUGUGAAAUCCCCGGGCUUAACCUGGGAACUGCAUUCGGGACUGCAUUGCUAGAGUAUGGGAGAGGGAAGUGGAAUUUCAGGUGUAGCGGUGAAAUGCGUAGAUAUCUGAAGGAACAUCAGUGGCGAAAGCGACUUCCUGGACCAAUACUGACGCUCAUGUGCGAAAGCGUGGGGAGCAAACAGG
rnacentral:rRNA from 1 species